AUACGGAGGUUGCAAGCGUUAAUCGGAAUUACUGGGCGUAAAGAGUACGUAGGUGGUUUGUUAAGUCAGAUGUGAAAGCCCCGGGCUCAACCUGGGAACUGCAUUUGAAACUGGCAAACUAGAGUAUGGUAGAGGGGGGUAGAAUUUCUAGUGUAGCGGUGAAAUGCGUAGAUAUUAGAAGGAAUACCAGUGGCGAAGGCGGCCCCCUGGACCAAUACUGACACUGAGGUACGAAAGCGUGGGUAGCGAACAGGAUUAGAAACCCUAGUAGUCC
rnacentral:rRNA from 1 species